rnacentral:rRNA from 1 species
UACGUAGGGGGCAAGCGUUGUCCGGAUUCAUUGGGCGUAAAGAGCGUGUAGGCGGCCCGAUAAGUCCGCUGUGAAAGUCCAGGGCUCAACCCUGGAAUGCCAGUGGAAACUGUCGGGCUGGAGUCCGGAAGAGGCGAGUGGAAUUCCUGGUGUAGCGGUGAAAUGCGCAGAUAUCAGGAGGAACACCAAUGGCGAAGGCAGCUCGCUGGGACGGUACUGACGCUGAGACGCGAAAGCGUGGGGAGCAAACAGG